UCUAGUGAGCAGAGCCUCCUCUAAAACCCAAUUCUUUCUACAUACUUUUUGCCUAAUGGAUAGAGCAACCUGCCAGGAAUUUGGAGGACUUAAAUAAACAUUGAAGAUACAAAAGCACACAAGGGAUGAUUUUAUUGUAAAGUCAUGUUGUCAUCAAAUGCUGUGAUUUCUUCCCUGGUGAGGGCAGUUUUCAGGCUACCACAGUUGCCUCUGGUCAUGUCAUGGGUGAGUUCUGGCCCUGACAGCUGAUGUUGUUUCCUGACUUUUGACUGAUGGGGAAUUAAAUGCCUGUUUUACCACGAAGUUACAUCAAGGGGGUGCCUUCCUCUGCUGUCUCCCCUUCUACGUCGUCCACCUUCUACAUCUCUGCUACCUCGGAGACAGCAAGGCCAACUCCUCAUCUUCUUCUCCUCCUCAGCCUACUCAAUAUGAAGACACUGAGGGAUGAAGACCUUUAUGAUGAUCCACUUCGACUUAAUAAAUACUGUGGAAUUGGGACGAAUCGCUGCACAGAGGGGCCUUGCCCAAGGCUACGCAGCUGGUGGAUGGAGAAAUCAGGCGCUUGCUGGCCGCCUGGCAGGCAGCUUUCCCUGCGAGGGAAGGAGGUGCCUCCGGCCUCUGAAGAGGUGGCUAUGGGAUAGGCUGAAAUGAGCUGCUGAAAGCCUGAAGCUCCAGAAAGACAAUAAAACCAGCAAAACACACUGAUGCGAAUGUCACUUGCCGAGGAUGUGUGAGGACACAGCCAGUCCCCAGGAGGAAGUGGGCCUUCCCGAGUUCUGUGGCAGCAUGAAGGGAUGGUUAAUUGAAUAAUGGCAAUGACACUGUAAGGGAAUGCUUCAUACGUGAAAUGUAAAGUGCAUGAAUGAUCACCAAGAUCUGUGGCAUUUUUAUACCAUUGUCCUGUAUUUGUAUGGUGCUUCCCAUUUCUGAAAGUGCUUUCACAUGUUCAGCCAUUUGCUCACAACUGUUCUUCAAAGCAAAUAGGUACCUAUGGGCAGAAUAACGUACCCCCAUCCCCAAAUUCGUGUGUUGAAACUCUAAGUCCCAGUGCUUCCAAAUGUGACUAUAUUGGAACUCAAGGUCUUUGAAGACAUGAAUAAGCUAAAAUGAGCCCCGUAGGGUGGGCCUAAUUCAGUCUGACCAGUCCUUAGAAGAAGAGGAAAUUACCACACACGGAUGAUCCCCACACUUCAGCCCACUCCCAAACUCUUAUAAUCCCCAGCCACAAAUUCCUUUAUUUCCCAUUUGUUAACAUGUAGAGGAAAGGCCACGUGAGGACACAGCGAGGAGGAGGCAUCUCCGAGCCAAGGAGGGAGGUUUCGGGAGAAACUAAACCUGCUGACAUCUUGAUUUCAGACAUCAAGCUUCCAGAGCUGCGAGAAAUAAACUUCUGUUGUUUAAACCACUCAGUCUGUCAUCUUCCGUUAUAGCAGCCCUAGCAAACUUAUAUAGUGGACUGUUUGGGAACACCUUUAAACAUGUUAGAAAUACUCAUUUCUAACUAGAAAAUAUUAGUCACGUUGCGAUUAGUUACAUAACUUCCAUAUUGUCUCAGUCAUAAUAAUAUUAAAGAUGAUUCCUACCUCCUGAGCCUUCACCGUGUGCCAGACACCGUCUAAAUGUCCUACUUCGUUUAAUCUUCAUAAAACUCCUCCAAAUAAACAAAUGGGGAAGAAGGAAGAGCUCUUCCUUAUAGUAGAAUUCUAAUUAAUACAUGUAGAAGGAAGCAGAAAAAUAGAAGAUUGAUAUUUGGCAAACGCCAUAGUAAUAAUUGUUGUAAGCAAGCCCCAAGGAUGGAUACUAUAAUUAGUUGGUGAAAGUAUGAGGAAUAGGAUAUUUGUAUAGUCUCAAAGUAUCUCCCUAAAAGAUACUUAUUAAUUACAAAGGGAAAAAAUAGUAAAUUUAACAGUGGAGAAACCCAAUAUAUGUCACUUCAACCAAGAGGUCAAGAAUGACCUCAUCAAUAAUAAGGCACGCCAAGAUCAUGUACCUCCAGAUACUAUGCACUGAGAAGAGCACAGUAUCCUAUUUGUGCUAUUCUUGCCCAAAAUGCAUAACUUCAGUCUACUCAUGAGAAGGCCCGAGUGACAUUUUGAAAAUAACUGGCUUGGAUUUUCCAAAACUAUCACUGAUUGAAGAAGAUGAAGAAGAUAUAACAGCUAAAUGCAAUAUGGAAUCUUGGAUGGGAUCCAGAAAAAGAAAUCUGUGGGAAAACUGGUGAAAUUCAAACAAGGUCUGUAGAUUUAGAUGUCAGUUUCCUGGUUUUGAUAAUUGCACUAUAUUUAUGUAGGAUGUUAACAUUUGAACAAGCUGGGUUAAGUGUACACAGAAAUUAGUUUUUGCAACUUUAAGUGUAAAGUUAUUUCAAAGUAGAUUUUUUUAAAAAAAAAAACUCUCUUGUUCUAAUGGGUGUACAGUUUCAGGUAUGCGAGACAAAUAAGUUCUAGAGAUCUGCUGUGUGACAUUAAUGUACUGUGCACUUAUAAAUUUGUCAGGAGGGCAGAUCUCAUGAUAAGUGCUCUUACCACAAUAAAACAAACAAACAAAUAAAAAUCCCUCUGAACUAGGAGCUGCUAUUUUCUUCUUAUUACCAAGUGAGUUGACUUAUUCAGGGUGAGACAGCUUGUUAAGCGUGGAGCAUUGCUAUGUACUCGGGCUGUCUGACUCUAGAGCUUAUCCUGUACCCUGUGAAAUAUCCCCUUAGUACUUUUAGGAGACAAUGGAAUUGUUAGCUUAGUUUUAAUUUUUCAUAGACUUGUAUUCCUUUAGUGCUGUGUUGGAAAAAGCUUUUUCUAAACCAUCCUGCCUCCCUUUAGUCCGUGUGAAGGAGAUGCUGGCAGAGUUGAGUCAGAAGAAAUAUGAGCACGGGUAGGACACUGUACUGGAAACCACUGCACACACACAAAGAAGUAGCAGACUUCUCUGCUCCCCUCAGGAACUUACAAAGAGCUGAGACAGACAAAAGGUAACUAACAAUGCAGAGCAGAAAAUAAGCACCAACAAAGUAGUAGAGGCUCUGUGUGCCAUGGGAGGUUACAGGAGAGGGACCUGGUAUAAGUUUCCUUGGUGGAAGGAGGAGGUGAUAUUUGACCUUUUGACCUGAGCCUUCAAGAAUGAGAAAGAUUGCCAAAAAAAAAAAAAAAAAAAAAGGGAAAACCAUGGGGGAGAACAGAGAAAUUGCAACUAUAGUAGGUGGGUUGCUUUGCCACCUGUUGCCCUUGCUGUACAUGUGCAGUAAGUCAAUACACCGAGACAUGGGGUUGCAGCAGAGAAAGAAGUUUAAUAACAGGACCACCAAAUGAGGACAUGGGAGGAAACCUCAAAUACACCUCCUAAAGGAAUUUGUGGCUGGGGAUUAUAAGAGUUUGGGAGUGGGCUGAAGUGUGGAGAUCACUGAUUGGUCAAAGAGUGCAGGGUGAAGUUAGGGCAAGGAGAUGAAGAAGCUGUCUUUUGGUGCUGAUUCUAUUCUUCAGUGGAGGUCUUCAAAUUCGUUAGCAUCAGCUGUUUUGCUGGAAUUUGGGAUCUGAAGAACACCUUAAAUGGUUCCUAAACAAAAGCCUUAUGAUUCUAAUAUCAGAGAUCCCUUCCUUGGAGCAAUGAAGAUGCAAAUCAAUUUUUUUCUACAAUAAAAAAUUUCAUUUGUUAUUUUCUUUUUUAAAUUUUUAUUUAUUUAUUUUUAUUGUACUUUAGGUUCUGGGGUACAUGUGCAGAUCAUGCAGGAUUGUUGCAUAGGUACAUACGUGGCAAGGUGGUUUGCUGCCUUCAUCCCCCCAUCACCUAAAUCUUAUGAUCCCAAUGUCAGAAAUCCUAUCUACGCUGUACACAGUGGCUCAUGCCUGUAAUCCCAGCACUUUGAGAGGCUGAGGCAGGAGGAUUUCCUGAGCCGAGAAGUUUGAGAUCAGCCUGGGCAGCAUGGCAAGACAUUAACACUACAAAAAAAAUUUUUUUUAAUUAGCUGAGCAUGGUGCCACGCGCCUGUAGUCCCAGUUACCCUGCAGGCUAAGGUCGAGGGUGGGGAUCACUUGAGCCCAGGAGGCCAAGGCUGCAGCGAGUUGUAUUUGUGCCACUUCACU
ensembl:lncRNA